rnacentral:lncRNA from 1 species
UGCGCCAAGUACUGAACGUGGGGCGAUGUUGAAGCGUGGGUGAGGUUACCGCGGCUGCUGAUUUUGCUGCUAGGGUCUCUGUUUUGUGUUUUAGGCUAAUUGGGCCGUGUAAAGGAUUUUGGGCCCUGGGCAAUAAUUAGGUAUUACAACAAGGAAAAAGGCUUAUUUUCCGUUGACCUGUAAGUCAUUUUCCGUUGACCAAGCUGUUUUCUGUGAAACAAACAAAGGAAAAUGCAGAAAGCAUUUUCU